rnacentral:rRNA from 1 species
GAUGAACGCUGGCGGCGUGCCUAAUACAUGCAAGUCGAGCGAACAGACCAGGCGCUUGUUCGUUUGACGUUAGCGGCGGACGGGUGUGUAACACGUGGAUAACCUCCCUAUCUUUCUGGGAUAAUUUCGGGAAACCGGCUCUAAUACCGGAGAAUCUAUUGAAGCGUAUGGUUCAUUGGUGAAAGACGGUUUUUCUGUCACUACUAGCUGGAUCCGCGCCGCAUUAGCUAGUUGGUACGGUAACGGCUUAUCACGGGUACGAUGCGUAGACGACCUGAGAGGGUGAUCGGCCACACUGGAACUGAGACACGGUCCAGACGCCUACGAGAGGCAGCAGUAGGGAAUCUGCCGCAAUGGGCGGAAGCUUGACACAGCGACGCCGAGUGAGUGAUGAAGGUCUUCGGAUCGUAAAACUCUGUUAUUGGGGAAGAACAGAUGUGGAAGUUGCUGUGCCGGUAUUGACGGUACCGAAUCAAAAAGCCACGGCUAACUACGUG